AGAGUUUGAUCAUGGCUCAGGAUGAACGCUGGCGGCGUGCCUAACACAUGCAAGUCGAGCGAUUCUCUUCGGAGAAGAGCGGCGGACGGGUGAGUAACGCGUGGGUAACCUGCCCUGUACACACGGAUAACAUACCGAAAGGUAUGCUAAUACGAGAUAAUAUACUUUUAUCGCAUGGUAGAAGUAUCAAAGCUUUUGCGGUACAGGAUGGACCCGCGUCUGAUUAGCUAGUUGGUAAGGUAACGGCUUACCAAGGCGACGAUCAGUAGCCGACCUGAGAGGGUGAUCGGCCACAUUGGAACUGAGACACGGUCCAAACUCCUACGGGAGGCAGCAGUGGGGAUAUUGCACAAUGGGCGAAAGCCUGAUGCAGCAACGCCGCGUGAGCGAUGAAGGCCUUCGGGUCGUAAAGCUCUGUCCUCAAGGAAGAUAAUGACGGUACUUGAGGAGGAAGCCCCGGCUAACUACGUG
rnacentral:rRNA from 1 species